rnacentral:rRNA from 1 species
UUGACCUCGGAUCAGGUAGGAUUACC